GAUGAACGCUGGCGGCGUGCCUAAUACAUGCAAGUCGAGCGAACAGAUGAGGAGCUUGCUCCUCUGACGUUAGCGGCGGACGGGUGAGUAACACGUGGAUAACCUACCUAUAAGACUGGGAUAACUUCGGGAAACCGGAGCUAAUACCGGAUAAUAUAUUGAACCGCAUGGUUCAAUAGUGAAAGACGGUUUUGCUGUCACUUAUAGAUGGAUCCGCGCCGCAUUAGCUAGUUGGUAAGGUAACGGCUUACCAAGGCGACGAUGCGUAGCCGACCUGAGAGGGUGAUCGGCCACACUGGAACUGAGACACGGUCCAGACUCCUACGGGAGGCAGCAGGAGGGAAUCUUCCGCAAUGGGCGAAAGCCUGACGGAGCAACGCCGCGUGAGUGAUGAAGGUCUUCGGAUCGUAAAACUCUGUUAUUAGGGAAGAACAAAUGUGUAAGUAACUAUGCACGUCUUGACGGUACCUAAUCAGAAAGCCACGGCUAACUACGU
rnacentral:rRNA from 1 species